rnacentral:misc_RNA from 1 species
UUGACAGUGAAGUUUCGUUCUUUCCUGUCGUUUGUUUGUCGGAAAAUUUAUUGACAAUAUGGAGCUGUUAAUUAGGCAAAGUGGAGUGAAGAACUUUAGCAUAAAUUAAGAUAAAUUAAUAAAUAUUGUCAAUGUUUAGUGAUACAUGUCUAAGUGAGGGGCCUUUAAAAUGGGAAAGCUGUUGUCAAAAAUUUUUGGCAACAAGGAGAUGAGGAUAUUGAUGUUGGGGUUGGAUGCUGCUGGAAAAACAACCAUUUUAUACAAAUUGAAGCUUGGGCAAUCAGUCACUACAAUACCAACUGUUGGAUUCAAUGUGGAAACAGUGACAUAUAAAAAUGUGAAGUUUAACGUUUGGGAUGUGGGUGGGCAAGACAAAAUUAGGCCACUUUGGCGCCACUACUACACAGGCACCCAAGGUCUAAUAUUUGUGGUGGACUGUGCUGACCGUGAUCGUAUUGAUGAGGCACGCCAAGAGUUACAUAGGAUUAUAAAUGAUCGUGAAAUGCGAGAUGCAAUAAUACUCAUAUUUGCCAAUAAACAAGAUCUACCUGAAGCUAUGAAACCCCAUGAAAUCCAAGAGAAAUUAGGCUUAACAAGAAUGAGAGACAGAAACUGGUAUGUCCAACCUGCUUGUGCAAUUACUGGUGAUGGUCUCUUCGAAGGCCUAACAUGGCUCACAAGCAAUCACAAAUUAUAGCACUCUUAUGUACUACAAUCUUACAAGUUUUUUAGUCAAGCUGAUGUUUCCUUCAAAAAGGGCAGUGCACUCUUUCAGCCAUUCAGUGGUUGUGAAGUCUGGACCAGUGUUCUUAGUUUGUGCCUCUUGUUUUUUUUGUUGUACAUAAGUUAUUUUGUGAACACUUGAUGUUAUUAGUAUCUCUAAGUAGGUAUCUUAAAAAUUAUAUAUCUUUUGUAACAAAGCUUGAGAAUUUAUUUAUGUAUAUAUUCUUGAUAUUUUUUUUGCAACCAGUGCCCAUAAGUGUAUAGUAAUUGUAUUCUUAAAAAAUAUAUUGCUAAGCAGGGUUUAGUUUUAAGUCCUUUCAGGGCAGUGCAUCUUAAUCAAAUUAAUCAUGAAAUGUAUUGAAUUGCAUAUAUAAUAGGGUAGGUACAAGACAUUUGAAUUAAAUAAAAAAUUGACUAGAAUUGACCAGAAUGGACUUAUCUGUGCAACACCACAUAGGCAAUAUUGUUCUUUAAGGGUAAUUAAUUAAGUUAUAAUACACAUUAAUUUUUAUUGUUUCAUAUUGUAAAAUAUAUUGUUGCCCCUUAACUUGAAAGUUAUAAAUCAUUUUUAAGCAAAUUUUGCCUAAUAAGUAAGUAUUAUGAUUUGUAUUAUGUUAUGUUCGGAGGUUUGCACAAUCUCCAUUUAAAAGAUCAUUAUAGAUCAUGUUUAAUUGAAUUAAUUUGAAUAAAAGUAUAUCAAUUUUA